AGGGUGUAAACGCUGCAGACUUGGUGUUGGGAACCCUUCGGGGGUGCUCAGUGCCGGAGAGAAGUUGUUAAGUCUGCUACUUGGGGAGUACGUCCGCAAGGAUGAAACUUAAAGGAAUUGGCGGGGGAGCACCGCAACGGGAGGAGCGUGCGGUUUAAUUGGACUCAACACCGUAAACUCACCAGGGAAGACUGUUACAUGAAGGCCGAGAUGAAGACUCUGCUAGAUUUUCAGAGAGGAGGUGCAUGGCGUCAGUGACU
rnacentral:rRNA from 1 species